AGUGAACGCUGGCGGCAGGCCUAACACAUGCAAGUCGAGCGGCAGCGCGGGGGCAACCCUGGCGGCGAGCGGCGGACGGGUGAGGAAUUCGUCGGAAUCUGCCUAUUUGUGGGGGAUAACGUAGGGAAACUUACGCUAAUACCGCAUAAGUCCUACGGGAGUACGUGGGAGACCGCAAGGCCUCACGCAGAAAGAUGAGCCGACGACCGAUUAGCUAGUUGGUGGGGUAAAGGCCCACCAAGGCGACGAUCGGUAGCUGGUCUGAGAGGAUGAUCAGCCACACUGGGACUGAGACACGGCCCAGACUCCUACGGGAGGCAGCAGUGGGGAAUAUUGGACAAUGGGCGCAAGCCUGAUCCAGCCAUGCCGCGUGUGUGAAGAAGGCCUUCGGGUUGUAAAGCACUUUUGUCCGGAAAGAAAACCCUGGGGCUAAUACCUUCGUGGGAUGACGGUACCGGAAGAAUAAGCACCGGCUAACUUCGUG
rnacentral:rRNA from 1 species